GCGGUGGCUCUUCUCUCGCGUUGCUUUCGCUGCCGCCCAGCCCCGGGGUGUUGGGCGUUUCACCGACGGGUGCGGGAGGAGUGCGGCGGUCGGAGCUCGGUGACUUUCAUGGGUCUGUGCACUGACUUCAGGCUGUACGGGUAAGAGGUCAGAGUCUGGAGAAGGCACUGAAGAAGAUGCAGGCACACUGAGGACUGCAGAAAAAUGAGCCAUGCAUUUUUCUGAAAGCUGAGAAGUAGC